rnacentral:rRNA from 1 species
GACGAACGCUGGCGGCGUGCUUAACACAUGCAAGUCGAACGGAAAGGCCCUGCUUUUGUGGGGUGCUCGAGUGGCGAACGGGUGAGUAACACGUGAGUAACCUGCCCUUGACUUUGGGAUAACUUCAGGAAACUGGGGCUAAUACCAGAUAGGAGCUCCUGCUGCAUGGUGGGGGUUGGAAAUUUUCGGCGGUUGGGGAUGGACUCGCGGCUUAUCAGCUUGUUGGUGGGGUAGUUGCUUACCAAGGCUUUGACGGGUAGCCGGCCUGAGAGGGUGACCGGCCACAUUGGGACUGAGAUACGGACCAGACUCCUACGGGAGGCAGCAGUGGGGAAUAUUGCACAAUGGGCGGAAGCCUGAUGCAGCAACGCCGCGUGCGGGAUGACGGCCUUCGGGUUGUAAACCGCUUUCGCCUGUGACGAAGCGUGAGUGACGGUAAUGGGUAAAGAAGCACCGGCUAACUACGUG